rnacentral:rRNA from 1 species
GACGAACGCUGGCGGCGUGCUUAACACAUGCAAGUCGAGCGGUAAGGCCUUUCGGGGUACACGAGCGGCGAACGGGUGAGUAACACGUGGGUGAUCUGCCCUGCACUUCGGGAUAAGCCUGGGAAACUGGGUCUAAUACCGGAUAUGACCUCCUAUCGCAUGGUGGGUGGUGGAAAGAUUUAUCGGUGCAGGAUGGGCCCGCGGCCUAUCAGCUUGUUGGUGGGGUAAUGGCCUACCAAGGCGACGACGGGUAGCCGACCUGAGAGGGUGACCGGCCACACUGGGACUGAGACACGGCCCAGACUCCUACGGGAGGCAGCAGUGGGGAAUAUUGCACAAUGGGCGAAAGCCUGAUGCAGCGACGCCGCGUGAGGGAUGACGGCCUUCGGGUUGUAAACCUCUUUCAGCAGGGACGAAGCGCAAGUGACGGUACC